rnacentral:lncRNA from 1 species
UACAGCUAGUCAGAGGCAGUGUCAAGGUUUGAUCCAGAAAAAUCCAACUUUCAAGCCCAGAUGGAAUUGUCUCAUAAUGAUGAAUGUCAAUCAUGACAUCACGUGGCAUGUGGCUCCUCUGUAAUGUGGCCAUUGGCAUGAGCUGUACACUCCGGUAACUGGGUAAGCAAUUAGGACAGCCGGACAAAUCUUCUCUUUUGCAGCGGGAAUUUCCUGGCUUCUCUACACACAAUCUGCCAAACAAUGAAGAUCAUGGGAAGAA